rnacentral:rRNA from 1 species
GACGAACGCUGGCGGCGUGCCUAAUACAUGCAAGUCGAACGCACAGUUUAUACCGUAGCUUGCUACACCAUAGACUGUGAGUUGCGAACGGGUGAGUAACGCGUAGGUAACCUGCCUGGUAGCGGGGGAUAACUAUUGGAAACGAUAGCUAAUACCGCAUAAUAUUGAUUAUUGCAUGAUAAUUGAUUGAAAGCUGCUAUUGCAUCACUACCAGAUGGACCUGCGUUGUAUUAGCUAGUAGGUGAGGUAACGGCUCACCUAGGCGACGAUACAUAGCCGACCUGAGAGGGUGAUCGGCCACACUGGGACUGAGACGCGGCCCAGACUCCUACGGGAGGCAGCAGUAGGGAAUCUUCGGCAAUGGACGAAAGUCUGACCGAGCAACGCCGCGUGAGUGAAGAAGGGUUUCGGAUCGUAAAGCUCUGUUGUAAGAGAAGAACGGGUGUGAGAGUGGAAAGUUCACACUGUGACGGUAUCUUACCAGAAAGAGACGGCUAACUACGUG